rnacentral:lncRNA from 1 species
CUAUUAUUAUUAUUUUAUUAUUAUUAUUAUUAUUAUCCUUUUCCAUCUUCUAACUCUCUGUCAUAUCGCCAUGUGUAACGUCCUCCUAGAGACCGACACGUCUAGUUUGUGCGUCGUGCUUCGUGACAGUGACAAUGAGGCGACGCAAACUUUCUCUCAGCAGUAACAAAGAGGGGGAAGUAUAGAGUGCACAUCAUUAUGCACUUUAACGAGUGACUCCGAGCGUGGAAUAGUCGGACGAUAGAGACACGUGAUCAUAAGAAA